rnacentral:lncRNA from 1 species
UCCUGGUACUCUGUUCUCCGAGGUAUCAUUGACCCUUUGGUGUAGUGGGGGUGCGACAAGUGUCCGUCAAUCUGGGUGGAGCGAUGACCAAUUAUAUCGAUCUUGGCUGUUCAAGGAUUUAUAAAAAGGGUAGGCAUCCCUGCUGGUUUGCCAUACCAGAAGAGGUUCCAAGCAUUCUAUCUGCUGCCUUGAAGGAGAUUCCUACAAAGCCAAUCCCCUUAUUUGCUUUAGGAACAUGCUUG